AGAGUUUGAUCCUGGCUCAGGAUGAACGCUGGCGAGAUGCCUUACACAUGCAAGUCAUACGAGAAUUUUUAAUUCAAGUGGCGGACGGGUGAGUAACACGUAAGAAUUUGCCUUUAGGAGGGGGACAACAACUGGAAACGGUUGCUAAUACCCCAUAUGCCUUCGAGUGAAACGGAAUUUUCCGCCUAAAGAGAAGCUUGCGGCUGAUUAGCUUGUUGGUGAGGUAAUGGCUUACCAAGGCGACGAUCAGUAUCUGGUUUGAGAGGAUGAUCAGACACACUGGAACUGAGACACGGUCCAGACUCCUACGGGAGGCAGCAGUGGGGAAUUUUCCGCAAUGGGCGAAAGCCUGACGGAGCAAUCUCGCGUGAGGGAUGACGGCCUAUGGGUUGUAAACCUCUUUUUUCAGGGAGGAAUAAAUGACGUGUACCUGAAGAAUAAGCAUCGGCUAACUCCGUGCCAGCAGCCGCGGUAAGACGGAGGAUGCAAGUGUUAUCCGGAAUCACUGGGCGUAAAGCGUCUGUAGGUGGUUUGAUAAGUCAACUGUUAAAUCUUGAAGCUCAACUUCAAAAUCGCAGUCGAAACUAUCAGACUAGAGUAUAGUAGGGGUAAAGGAAUUUC
rnacentral:rRNA from 1 species